GGGGGAUUAGUUCAGUGGUAGAAUAUCUGAUUCCAGUCCAGAAGGUCGUCGGUUCAACUCCGGCAUCCCUCA
rnacentral:tRNA from 2 species